CGCUGCCGCCGUAUCGCGCAAGUGUCCCUCUCCGCCAUGGCCCACCGCCACCCGGUUACCACCAGACAGCCACAGUUCACCAGGUACCGGUUACCGUGCACGGUAACAACAAAUUUCAUGAAAUGGUUUUUACUACAUUGGGACAGUGGAAUAAGGAUGAAAUGUCUUGUGGUCAACCACCUAUAUUUUAUACGAGUAUAUACAAUCCGAAAUGGCUAAAAAGCAAGAUUUCAACUUCAACUACGUAAGCUGUAUGAUCCAAGGACAAUUAUAUUAAUAAAUCAAUAACAAAAGUUGAAAGAUUUAUAUGGCGGUUGUCACUAUGACACUAUCAAAUAUCAAACAAUAGAAUAAAACUCUACAGUUAUUAUAAGACAUAGAUAUUAUCAUACAAACCAAUCAAAUCACAUUGAUAAUCAAACAAGAAUACUGGGCACCACAGAGACUUUCGUAUGGGGGCGCAGGUUAAUUCAGUAUUUAAAAAUAUUGAUAUAUUAUUAUUUAU